GUGGAGCCAACCUUGAAAUACCACCCUUUAAUGUUUGAUGUUCUAACUCGGCCCCAUAAUCUGGGGUGAGGACAGUGUCUGGUGGGUAGUUUGACUGGGGCGGUCUCCUCCCAAAGAGUAACGGAGGAGCACGAAGGUUAGCUAAUCACGGUCGGACAUCGUGAGGUUAGUGCAAAGGCAUAAGCUAGCUUGACUGCGAGAGUGACGGCUCGAGCAGGUACGAAAGUAGGUCUUAGUGAUCCGGUGGUUCUGAAUGGAAGGGCCAUCGCUCAACGGAUAAAAGGUACUCCGGGGAUAACAGGCUGAUACCGCCCAAGAGUUCAUAUCGACGGCGGUGUUUGGCACCUCGAUGUCGGCUCAUCACAUCCUGGGGCUGAAGUAGGUCCCAAGGGUAUGGCUGUUCGCCAUUUAAAGUGGUACGCGAGCUGGGUUUAGAACGUCGUGAGACAGUUCGGUCCCUAUCUGCCGUGGGCGUUGGAAGAUUGAGAGGGGCUGCUCCUAGUACGAGAGGACCGGAGUGGACGCAUCACUGGUGUUCGGGUUGUCAUGCCAAUGGCAUUGCCCGGUAGCUAAAUGCGGAAAAGAUAAGCGCUGAAAGCAUCUAAGCGCGAAACUUGCCUCGAGAUGAGUCUUCCCUGGGGCUUUAAGCCCCCUGAAGGAACGUUAAAGACUAUGACGUUGAUAGGCUGGGUGUGUAAGUGCAGCGAUGCAUUGAGCUAACCAGUACUAAUGAUCCGUGAGGCUUAACCUU
rnacentral:rRNA from 1 species